rnacentral:rRNA from 1 species
GACGAACGCUGGCGGCGUGCUUAACACAUGCAAGUCGAACGAAGAGCGAUGGAAGCUUGCUUCUAUCAAUCUUAGUGGCGAACGGGUGAGUAACGCGUAAUCAACCUGCCCUUCAGAGGGGGACAACAGUUGGAAACGACUGCUAAUACCGCAUACGAUCUAAUCUCGGCAUCGAGGAUAGAUGAAAGGUGGCCUCUACAUGUAAGCUAUCACUGAAGGAGGGGAUUGCGUCUGAUUAGCUAGUUGGAGGGGUAACGGCCCACCAAGGCGAUGAUCAGUAGCCGGUCUGAGAGGAUGAACGGCCACAUUGGGACUGAGACACGGCCCAGACUCCUACGGGAGGCAGCAGUGGGGAAUCUUCCGCAAUGGACGAAAGUCUGACGGAGCAACGCCGCGUGAGUGAUGACGGCCUUCGGGUUGUAAAGCUCUGUUAAUCGGGACGAAAGGCCUUCUUGCGAAUAGUGAGAAGGAUUGACGGAACCGGAAUAGAAAGCCACGGCUAACUACGUG